AGCAAUCAAAGUCUGGACCACCAAGUACUCCCUCCCUUUCAGAAACCGAAAUUCAAAAGCAAGUGGAAACUCUCAAGAAGCAGAUAAGGUCCCUCAAAAACAAAAUAGACAGAGGAAAUGUCAAGAUGUCCACAGUGUGUGAAUCGUACACCAAUUAUUUUGAGCAAUAUCAAGAAUAUGAUUCGUUUCUUACACCCCCUGAGCAUUCAAACCCUUGGAUAUCAGAUAGCACAGAAGCUUGGGAAAUGGAAAAACAAAC